CGGCUCGCUUGGCCGCGGUGAAAUGAGGGCUAAAACGUGAGACUGGGAUUUUUUUCAUAAUUGUUUUUCUUCACCCAAGGACAAAUGGAUCAAGCAGAGAAACAGCGAGGAAGAAAAUGCGGUUCUGCCUAAACACUCCGGUUAAUGUCGGCUGUCUGCACAGGAUGAAACAGAUGUCUGUGUAACAGCUGUAACCACAGCACAGAGAGCUUGCAGAAACACUGUUAUAACAUUGUUAUAACUACGGACCCCAAAAGAAAGAUAUCCAUCCAUCUGAACAAACCACAAAACUCUUCCUGGACUUCAGCUCAGCAUUUAAUCACAUCAUCC
ensembl:lncRNA